UAGGAGGUAGUAUAAGGGGAGUACGAAGAGUUUUGGUCUCUUAAGUGCGGGUUCGAGUCCCGUUCUUCUAUUU
rnacentral:tRNA from 1 species